rnacentral:rRNA from 1 species
GAUGAACGCUGGCGGCGUGCCUUACACAUGCAAGUCGAGCGGACAGACGUUAAGCUUGCUCCUCUCACGUUAGUGGCUCAUGUGUGGGAAACUCGCGGGUAAUCUGCCUUAAAUACUGGGAUAACUUCGUAAUACCGCAUCUAACCCGGGAUAAUAUAUUGAGCCGCAUGGUUCAUUAGUCAAUUAGGGUUUUGCUUUUCCUUAUAGAUGGAUCCGCGCCUCAUUAGGUAGUUGGUAAGGUAACGGCUUACCAAGGCGACGAUGCGUAGCCGGCCUGAGAGGAUGAUAGGCCACACUGGAACUGAGACACGGUCCAGACUCCUACGGGAGGCAGCAGUAGGGAAUCUUCGGCAAUGGGCGAAAGCUUGACGGAGCAACGCCGCGUGAGUGAAGAAGGUCUUCGGAUCGUAAAACGCUGUUAUUAGGGAAGAAAAAAUGUGGAAGUAAAUAUGGGAGUCUUGACGGUACCUGAACAAAAAGCAACGGCUAACUACGUG